UACGAGGGGGGGCGAGCGUUGUUCGGAAUUACUGGGCGUAAAGAGCUCGUAGGUGGUUUGUCGCGUUGUUCGUGAAAACUCACAGCUUAACUGUGGGCGUGCGGGCGAUACGGGCAGACUUGAGUACUGCAGGGGAGACUGGAAUUCCUGGUGUAGCGGUGGAAUGCGCAGAUAUCAGGAGGAACACCAAUAGCGAAGGCAGCUCGCUGGGACGUUACUGACACUAAGGCGCGAAAGCGUGGGGAGCGAACAGG
rnacentral:rRNA from 1 species